ACUUUGCAAAACACACAAGGUCAAACAACAAUCAACAAAAACUCUGUUUCUGCUUUAUCUUCCCCCAAAAGCUCACACAUGGCUGCUACUUCAACGGUUGCAACCCGAAUAGGGCCUCAAGUUUUCAUCAGCUUCCAGGGACAGGAUGUGCGCAACCACUUCGUAAGCUUUCUCGACCCUGCUUUGAGAAGAGCGAAUAUAAAUGUUUUCUUAGACGAGAACGAGUUCUUGAACACAGACCUAGCUAGCCUAUUGACCAGGAUUGAAGAGUCCAAGAUCGCAAUGGUAAUCUUCUCAAAGAAUUACGCCGACUCAGAUAGGAGCUUGGAUGCGCUGGCCACGAUGAAGGAACUUAGGGAUCAAGGCCGUCUCAUAGUGAUUCCCAUCUUCUACGAUCUUGAUCAUUUGGUUGUGAAAGAACUUAGAGGAGACUUUGGCUAUAGGUUUAGAGAUUUGCAGCGCAGACAUCUACACCAGCUAGAAAGAACUCAGAAAUGGGAGGAAGCUUUAGUUACCAUUGCCAGAGCCGGCCUUGAAAGUAAGCAAAGGAAGCAGCUGCUUCCGGCCGACCAAAAAUAAAUAGAAUUUCGGCCGCGAUUUGUUUUAGUUGUCUGUUAGUUGAGUUGGUUGUGGUUACUACUGCCCUGAGAACAGGCCCAAUAUAUUAUUUUAGCUUCCAGCCCACAAAAUGCUGGGACCGGCACUGCCAUUGCUAACAUAAGAGGCAUGCCCCUAGCAGAACAAAGUGACACGGCAGAUUACCAUUUCAUAGAGUCAAUUGUCGUCCUGAUACAAAGAUUUCUGGAUCAUGUGGCCGUGAGAGGAAACCCAAGAGAAGCUAGCCGACAAGGAGGUUUCACGGUCCCUGCAAUACAACUAUAAAGAGAAGCAAAUCUUCAAGGAGUGGAAUCCAGAAAUCUCUAUAAAUAACAAAUUUUCUCAUAUGCAAACCAAAAAGAAAUGUUUUAUUUUAUUUUAUACAAUUUAUAAAUGUUUAUUUGUAGUAGUGUUGUUUUCUUCUUUACCAAGUUUAGUUUUAUAGUUAAAAACAGUUGUUCUGGUCAUAUACUCUCAUACUGUAUUUCGGGACUUCGGUUUACAUAUAUAAUAAUAUUCAGUUCCAUA